UACAGGGGGUGCAAACGUUGUUCGGAAUUAUUGGGCGUAAAGCGCGCGUAGGCGGCUACUUAAGUCGGAUGUGAAAGCCCCUGGCUCAACUGGGGAAGUGCACCCGAAACUGAGCAGCUAGAGUACGAAAGAGGGUCGCGGAAUUCCCGGUGUAGAGGUGAAAUUCGUAGAUAUCGGGAGGAACACCGGUGGCGAAGGCGGCGACCUGGGUCGAUACUGACGCUGAGGCGCGAAAGCGUGGGGAGCAAACAGG
rnacentral:rRNA from 1 species